rnacentral:lncRNA from 1 species
AGAAUGGGUGUAAAAGCUUCAACAAAAUCUACUUUGUUAGACAUAAUGAGUUGAGCUAGAAUACUACCGAUAGCAAAUGGGAUUCGUUGUUACCUGUUUGUUUUCGCUGAUGGUGCCUCCAAAUCGACGAUCGGUAUCGUUGAACAUGAUCUAUACCACUUGAAGUGUUUAGAAAUCAAAUUUCGUAUAUUUUCGAUAGUGUUCUCUUAUCGAUCAAGUGGACACAAAAAUGAACGGUUGAAAAUGAAUAUUCUUUAAAAAUUGAUGAUAGGAGUUUUAUAAUCAAGAUCAAGAGUAUAGAUCUUGUUUUAAAUAGUUUAAAGAAUUUUCUAACAAAAAUUUAAUUGAUUUGGAUAUCUUUACGCCGUUAAACGAGAAAACGUCUUUACGCCGUUAAACGAGAAAACGCCUCAUAUCGACUAUUAAAAUUAUAAAUUUUGAAACCCUUUGAUCAUUAGGCAAAUGAUGUCGAAAAGAUUUGAAAUUUGAUUUCUAAAUACUUCAAGUGGUAUAGAUCAUGUUCAACGAUGCCGAUCGUCGAUUUAGAGGCUCUAUCAUAAAAAACAAAUGGAUAGCAAUGAAGCCCGUUUGCUAUCGAUAACAUUCUAGCUCAACUCUAGAUAUAAUUACUUGAUAUAUAAAUAUUUACUCUAUCCAGUAAAUUUGGU